UACGUAGGUGGCGAGCGUUAUCCGGAAUUACUGGGCGUAAAGGGUGUGUAGGCGGGACUGCAAGUCAGAUGUGAAAAUUACGGGCUUAACCUGUAAACUGCAUUUGAAACUGUGGUUCUUGAGAGCCGGAGGGGUAAAUGGAAUUCCCAGUGUAGCGGUGAAAUGCGUAGAUAUUGGGAGGAACACCAGUGGCGAAGGCGAUUUACUGGACGGCAACUGACGCUGAGACACGAAAGUGUGGGGAGCAAACA
rnacentral:rRNA from 1 species